rnacentral:rRNA from 1 species
AUGAAUUGCAUAAGUUGGAACUGUCGGGGUGCGGCCAACAAACUGACAGUUCGAGAUCUGGUGGGCCUUACCAGGACCACCCAAGCAAAAUUGGUCUUCCUUAGUGAAACAAGAAUAAAGACUGAAAAGGUUCGUCGUUUGCGAGGUAGAUUAGGCUUAAGAGGUUUUGCCAGUAUUGAUAGUAACGGCCUGAGUGGAGGUUUAGCACUCUUUUGGUCUGAUGAUAUUUUUGUGGAUGUU